UACGGGGGGAGCAAGCGUUGUUCGGAUUCAUUGGGCGUAAAGGGUGCGUAGGUGGCGCCGUAAGUCAGGUGUGAAAUCUCGGGGCUCAACCCCGAAACUGCACUUGAUACUGCGGUGCUCGAGUACUGGAGAGGAGAUUGGAAUUUACGGUGUAGCAGUGAAAUGCGUAGAGAUCGUAAGGAAGACCAGUGGCGAAGGCGGGUCUCUGGACAGUUCCUGACACUGAGGCACGAAGGCCAGGGGAGCAAACGGG
rnacentral:rRNA from 1 species